rnacentral:rRNA from 1 species
GUAACCUACCCUCGAGUGGGGAAUAACUAGCGCGAAAGGUUAGCUAAUACCGCGUACGCUUCCCGGACUGCGGUUCGGGAAGGAAAGCGAUACCGCGGGUACCGCGCUCUUGGAUGGGCUCAUGCCCCAUCAGCUUGUUGGUGAGGUAACGGCUCACCAAGGCAUCGACGGGUAGCUGAUCUGAGGGGAUGAUCAGCCACACUGGCACCGCGACACGGGCCAGACUCCUACGGGAGGCAGCAGUAAGGAAUAUUGCGCAAUGGGCGAAAGCCUGACGCAGCGACGCCGCGUGGGGGAUGAAGGUCUUCGGAUUGUAAACCCCUUUCGGGAGGGAAGAUGGGAUGGGGUAACCCAUUCGGACGGUACCUCCAGAAGCAGCCACGGCUAACUUCGUGCCAGCAGCCGCGGUGAUACGAAGGUGGCAAGCGUUGUUCGGAUUUACUGGGCGUACAGGGAGCGUANGCGGUUGGGUAAGCCCUCCGUGAAAUCUCCAGGCUUAACCUGGAAAGUGCAGAGGGGACUGCUCAGCUAGAGGAUGGGAGAGGAGCGCCGGAAUUCCCGGUGUAGCGGUGAAAUGCGUAAAGAUCGGG